GACGAACGCUGGCGGCGUGCUUAACACCUGCAAGUCGAACGAAGUGGAGAACGGGUGAGUAAUACGUGGAUAACCUGCCAUCCUUUUUGGGAUAAGCCUUGGAAACGGGGUCUAAUCACGCAUAAAGGGGGAUGGGCUCGCGGCCUAUCAGCUUGUUGGUGGGGUGAUGGCCUACCAAGGCGGUGACGGGUAGCCGGCCUGAGAGGGUGAACGGCCACAUUGAGACGGGCAUACUGCCCAGACGCCUACGUGGUGCAGCAGUGGGGGAUAUUGCACAAUGGGCGAAAGACUUAUGCAGCGAGGCCGCGUGGGGGAGGAAGGCUUUCGGGUUGUAAACCUCUUGCGCUAUCGAGCGGGUAGGUGGAGAAGAAGCGCCGGCUAACUACGUGCCAGCAGCCGCGGUAAUAC
rnacentral:rRNA from 1 species